UGUCCCUGACCUGGGUAGAGUGACAUCUGGCAUCUGGUUGGUGGUGCCCAUCUCAUAGCCAGGGACAAAGCAUCCCCUUGUUCAUCCCAGCUUGGCUUUUGAUCUGUGCACAUGCCUGAUUCCUGCCUUGGACACAUAG
ensembl:snoRNA